rnacentral:rRNA from 1 species
CGGGGGGCAGCUACACAUGCAAGUCGAGCGGUAACAGAUCCAGCUUGCUGGAUGCUGACGAGCGGCGGACGGGUGAGUAAUGCAUAGGAAUCUGCCCGGUAGUGGGGGAUAACCUGGGGAAACCCAGGCUAAUACCGCAUACGUCCUACGGGAGAAAGGGGGCUUCGGCUCCCGCUAUCGGAUGAGCCUAUGUCGGAUUAGCUAGUUGGUGAGGUAACGGCUCACCAAGGCCACGAUCCGUAGCUGGUCUGAGAGGAUGAUCAGCCACAUCGGGACUGAGACACGGCCCGAACUCCUACGGGAGGCAGCAGUGGGGAAUAUUGGACAAUGGGGGGAACCCUGAUCCAGCCAUGCCGCGUGUGUGAAGAAGGCCCUCGGGUUGUAAAGCACUUUCAGCGAGGAAGAACGCCUAGCGGUUAAUACCCGCUAGGAAAGACAUCACUCGCAGAAGAAGCACCGGCUAACUCCGUGCCAGCAGCCGCGGUAAUACGGAGGGUGCAAGCGUUAAUCGGAAUUACUGGGCGUAAAGCGCGCGUAGGUGGCUUGAUAAGCCGGUUGUGAAAGCCCCGGGCUCAACCUGGGAACGGCAUCCGGAACUGUCAAGCUAGAGUGCAGGAGAGGAAGGUAGAAUUCCCGGUGUAGCGGUGAAAUGCGUAGAGAUCGGGAGGAAUACCAGUGGCGAAGGCGGCCUUCUGGACUGACACUGACACUGAGGUGCGAAAGCGUGGGUAGCAAACAGGAUUAGAUACCCUGGUAGUCCACGCCGUAAACGAUGUCGACCAGCCGUUGGGUGCCUAGCGCACUUUGUGGCGAAGUUAACGCGAUAAGUCGACCGCCUGGGGAGUACGGCCGCAAGGUUAAAACUCAAAUGAAUUGACGGGGGCCCGCACAAGCGGUGGAGCAUGUGGUUUAAUUCGAUGCAACGCGAAGAACCUUACCUACUCUUGACAUCCUGCGAAUUCGGUAGAGAUACCUUAGUGCCUUCGGGAACGCAGAGACAGGUGCUGCAUGGCUGUCGUCAGCUCGUGUUGUGAAAUGUUGGGUUAAGUCCCGUAACGAGCGC